ACCUUAUCUAGGGAAAUAAAUGAACCUUUCAUUCUGGAAGGAGAUAGAAUGGAGAAUGCCCCAUGAGGAGACAAAGAAGAAAUAGUCUGAGUUCUUAAAAGAUGGAUUGAGAUCCUUUUCUCUCCUCCUGGUUGGUGAGGAAGACAUACAUAUCCCACUGCAAUAAAUCCGUCUACAGCAAAUAACACAUAUGCUGAACAGAUCAAUUGAAACAGGCAACACUUUUUGGUAGAGAAAUUGGUCAGUAUCAUAAGUAACAAUUAUUAUAGCUCAAGCUAUAGACCUGUGUGUUCCUAUGCUUCUGAUGAAUAAUGCUGCUCCAGGCCAUCCAGAAACUUCCCAAAAUGCGUGGCGAGAAUAAUAUUUCUGCCAUAUUAAACUAAUGUAUAUGGCUCCUGAUAAUCCCUAAUUCCUAGCGGCCCUAAUACCUCCUCCCACUCCAGUUAAAACAGAAGAAUUAAUCACUUCAUGGAAAAAGUAGAAUCAGUAAGAAGUAGGCAAGUUAUUGCUGUAUUUGGAAUUUUCAAAAACAAUUUUUUUUUAGUUUAUAGUCACAUGAUAAUCUGAAAGCAUGUGCUAAAAUGGCAUGUUGUUGCAGACAACAGAACCUGAAUCUAACUAAGUAAAAAAUACUUAGAGGAGGGAUAUUUGGGAGCUCAUAACAGAUUCAUAAAUUAGGCAAGAAUCAGAGUUUGCCAGGAGCUUCACAUUUUUCCAUGAUCUGGGAGCCAAGAGUCUGUAAGAUCAAAUUGGAUAUCUGAUCUUUCAGCUGUCAUCAAAGUCACACCAUGGCAGAACCUUGUGUCUGGUCACACAGAGCCCCUGUCAAGAAAGGGGAAGGAGACACUGAUGCUAAGCAGCAAGGCAAAAAAAAAAAAAAAAAAAAAAAAAAAAAAAAAAAAAAAAAAAAGAAAAGAAAAGUCAAUGGAUGCCCCUUUUAUUUUUUUUCAGGAGCCAGACUUUGUCAUGAGAAGGAGCAAAGAAUGUUGUCCUAACUCCCAAAGCUGGGUCUUUGCAUAUCAGGGGCCAAGCAUGGUGGCAUCUGAUCAUCAAGUUUGCUUAUCUAAAUCAUGGACUGUAAAAGGAGAAUCAUACCUGUCAGGUACCUCCAUGUCACAACUCUUGGUCUUAUCUCUGAGAUGCACUGAGCUUCUGGUCUUUUGGCCCAAUCUCCCCCAGCUCUUGAUGCGCCAAGUCUUUCCUGUGGGAGCUGGAGAAGAAAAGGACUGUAAAAGGAUCUUACUUUGAAAGUUACUGCGGUGGUCCAGAUGGAAAAAUAGUCCAGGCAGCUCAAAGACCAUAUCCUACAGCUAUUAUUCCAAAUCGACAAGGUAUAUACACUCUUUCAGCAUCUGUGUAGAAAGUCUCAAGAAAGAUGGCCAUUUCAAAGCCAAUCACUCUGGCUUGGGAAGAGAGGACUUAGACCGGCCCAUCAAGACUGCAUGCCCCCUUCUGCAUCUGGGGGCACAUGGAGUGCCAGUGGG
rnacentral:lncRNA from 1 species